GGACGAUCCAAAAAACAUUUAAAUAAAUUGAAAAGCCAAAAUAAUCAUUGAUGAGAGAUUUAAUCAAAAGAAUUAAGGUGAGCGCUUCAGGCUCUUGAGAGCCUCUUGUUAAUAUAUACAAGAUAUUUGUAAACAUGGUAAAAACUCAUCAAAAAUACUAAACUAGAAAACAAGUCAUUUUUUAUUGUGUAUAUACAUAGUUAAAUACUGUCAAGUGACCAACUAUUAGUUAUUAUGAUAGUUUACUUUUUAUUCAGAACAGUCUUUGAUAUUGAUUACAGAAAUUUCUGAAUUUUAUUACAAAUGAAUCAUAUUGUUAUGCCUAAUGAAUUAUUUUUACAAUGUAGAGAAAGAAGGGGGCAUUAUAUUUUUCUGGUCUGUUCUUUUCAGGUAAAAGUUUUUGGUCCAGAUAGUUGACCAUGAAAGUGUCAUGAUUGUGGUCAUAUCAACUUGAAACUUAUAGAUUACAUAAGUUAUAUAUCUGGUAACUUUUAAAAAAGAAUGCUUAUUUCAGGUUAUGACCUCCAUUUCAAAGAUCACAAGCCAAGUAAUAAUAAUUCAAGGGAGGCAUGGUCUCCUUUGGGCCCAUAUUUUUGUUGUAAGGUUGCCUGAAUGUGCUAAAAUUUUAAAAAUUGUACUUUUAACAGAAAUCAAAAUUUUAUAAUUAUAAUAAUGUUAAAUUUUGUAUAAAUUGUUAUGCUUUGUCAAAUUGUAUUGAGUUUUUAUGUUGUACAGACAGAAUUUUAAUUUUCAUUUAUUGCACAAC
rnacentral:lncRNA from 1 species